rnacentral:misc_RNA from 1 species
CACGAACCGGACAAACGUUAUUCGGAAUCACUGGGCUUAAAGGGUGCGUAGGCGGCGCGGUCAGUCGGGUGUGAAAUCCCUCGGCUCAACCGAGGAAUUGCGCCCGAUACUACCGUGCUCGAGGGAGACAGAGGCGAGCGGAACUGAUGGUGGAGCGGUGUAAUGCGUUGAUAUUAUCAGGAACACCAGUUGAGAAAGCGGCUCGCUGGGUCUCUACUGACGCUGAGGCACGAAAGCUAGGGGAGCGAACGGG